rnacentral:rRNA from 1 species
UACAGAGGAUGCAAGCGUUAUCCGGAAUGAUUGGGCGUAAAGCAUCUGUAGGUGGCUUUUUAAGUCCGCCGUCAAAUCCCAGGGCUCAACUCUGGACAGGCGGUGGAAACUACCAAGCUGGAGUACGGUAGGGGCAGAGGGAAUUUCCGGUGGAGCGGUGAAAUGCGUAAAGAUCCGGAGGAACACCGACGGCGCAGGCAGCGUCCUGGCCGCUUGCUGACACUGAGGCACGAAAGCUGGGGGAGCAAACAGG